GGGUGCUCGAGUGGCGAACGGGUGAGUAACACGUGAGUAACCUGCCCUUGACCUUGGGAUAACUUCAGGAAACUGGGGCUAAUACCGGAUAGGAGCUCCUGCUGCAUGGUGGGGGUUGGAAAGUUUCGGCGGUUGGGGAUGGACUCGCGGCUUAUCAGCUUGUUGGUGGGGUAGUGGCUUACCAAGGCUUUGACGGGUAGCCGGCCUGAGAGGGUGACCGGCCACAUUGGGACUGAGAUACGGCCCAG
rnacentral:rRNA from 1 species